rnacentral:rRNA from 1 species
UGGCGAACGGGUGAGUAAUGUAUCGGAACGUGCCCAGUAGCGGGGGAUAACUACUCGAAAGAGUGGCUAAUACCGCAUACGCCCUGAGGGGGAAAGCGGGGGACCUUUUAGGCCUCGCACUAUUGGAGCGGCCGAUAUCGGAUUAGUUAGUUGGUGGGGUAAUGGCUCACCAAGGCAGCGAUCCGUAGCUGGUUUGAGAGGACGACCAGCCACACUGGGACUGAGACACGGCCCAGACUCCUACGGGAGGCAGCAGUGGGGAAUUUUCGACAAUGGGGGCAACCCUGAUCGAGCAAUCCCGCGUGUAUGAUGAAGGCCUUCGGGUUGUAAAGUACUUUUAGCAGGGAAGAAAACGCUUGGGCUAAUACCCUAAGUUCUUGACGGUACCUGCAGAAUAAGCACCGGCUAACUACGUGCCAGCAGCCGCGGUAAUACGUAGGGUGCAAGCGUUAAUCGGAAUUACUGGGCGUAAA